rnacentral:rRNA from 1 species
AGAGUUUGAUCCUGGCUCAGCAUGAACGCUGGCGGCGUGCUUAACACAUGCAAGUCGAACGAAGCACUCUACUUGAUUUCCUUCGGGAAUGAUUGUUUUGUGACUGAGUGGCGGACGGGUGAGUAACGCGUGGGUAACCUGCCUCAUACAGGGGGAUAACAGUUGGAAACGACUGCUAAUACCGCAUUAGCGCACAACUCCGCAUGAAGUGGUGUGAAAAACUCCGGUGGUAUGAGAUGGACCCGCGUUGGAUUAGCUUGUUGGCGGGGUAACGGCUCACCAAGGCGACGAUCCAUAGCCGACCUGAGAGGGUGACCGGCCACAUUGGGACUGAGACACGGCCCAAACUCCUACGGGAGGCAGCAGUGGGGAAUAUUGCACAAUGGGCGAAAGCCUGAUGCAGCGACGCCGCGUGAACGAAGAAGUAUUUCGGUAUGUAAAGUUCUAUCAGCAGGGAAGAAGAAUGACGGUACCUGACUAAGAAGCACCGGCUAAAUACGUGCCAGCAGCCGCGGUAAUACGUAUGGUGCAAGCGUUAUCCGGAUUUACUGGGUGUUAAGGGAGCGCAGGCGGCGCGGCAAGUCUGAUGUGAAAGCCCGGGGCUCAACCUCGGUACUGCAUUGGAAACUGUCGUGCUANAGUGUCCGAGGGUAAGCGGAAUUCCUAGUGUAGCGGUGAAAUGCGUAGAUACUAGGAGAGACACCAUUGGCGAAGGCGUCUUACUGGACGAUAACUGACGAUGAGGCUCGAAAGCGUGGGGAGCAAACAGGAUUAGAUACUCUGCUAGUCACACGCCGUAAACGAUGAAUACUAGGUAUUGGGGAACAUGGUUCUUCGGUGCCGUCCCAAAAGCAGUAAGUAUUCCACAUGGGGAGUACGUUAGCAAGAAUGAAACUCAAAGGAAUAGACGGGGACCCGCACAAUCGGUGGAGCAUGUGGUCUAAUUUGAAGCAACGCGAAGAACCUUACCAAGUCUUGACAUCUUUUUGACCGUCCUUUAACAGGGAAUUAUGUUCGGAGCAGGAGUGACAGAUGGUGCAUGGUUGUCGUCAGUUCGUGUCGUGAGAUGUUGGCAUAAGUCCCGCAACGAGCGCAACCCUUAUCUUUAGUAGCCAGCAUUUCGGAUGGGCACUCUAGAGAGACUGACCAGGGAUAACCAUGGAGGAAGGCAGGGGAUGACGUCAAAUCAUCAUGCCCCAUAUGACUUGGGAUACACACGUGAUACAAUGGUGUCAACAAAGGGAGGCAGAGCUGUGAGGCCGAGCAAAUGUCAAAAAUAACGUAUCUACACCGGAUUGUAGUUCGCUAAUAGAAUACAUGAAGCUGGAAUCGAUAGUAAUCGGCAAAUCAGAAUGAUGCGGAGAAUACGUUCACCGGGUCCUUGUACACACCGCCAGUCA